UCCCUGGUAGCUCAGUGGUAAAGAAUCUGCCUGCAAUGCAGGAGACCUGGGUUCGAUCCCUGGGUUGGGAA
rnacentral:tRNA from 1 species